rnacentral:rRNA from 1 species
CCUACGGGGGGCAGCAGUGGGGAAUUUUUCGCAAUGGGCGCAAGCCUGACGAAGCAACGCCGCGUGGAGGAUGAAGGUCUUCGGAUUGUAAACUCCUGUCGACCGGGACGAAUGCACCCGACCUAAUACGUCGGAGUGUUGACGGUACCGGUGGAGGAAGCCACGGCUAACUCUGUGCCAGCAGCCGCGGUAAUACAGAGGGGGCAUGCGUGGCGUGGAAUUACUGGGCGUAGACGGGGAGGUGGCGGGCGAAAGCCCUCGGCUUAACUGAGGAUCUGCACGGGAUACUGCGAGGCUUGAGUUCGGGAGAGGAAAGCGGAAUUCCGGGUGUAGCGGUGAAAUGCGUAGAUAUCCGGAGGAACACCAGUGGCGAAGGCGGCUUUCUGGACCGACACUGACGCUGAGGCGCGAAAGCUAGGGGAGCAAACGGGAUUAGAUACCCUAGUAGUC